AUCUGUGAUUGCACGCGUGCUCUGUCUCAGAAAGGAGGAUGUGAAGACUCUGCAAGUAGAGCUGCAUAGAACAAGAGAGCAAUGCCAUGCAGGGUGGUCAAAAUGUCAAGCCAAGUUUGGCAUUAGCACUGCACAGCAUAUGUUGUGCUAUCUACAGAAGAAUUGGUGCAGAAAAAAGAUUAGGCCUUAGUGCCAUGAUGGGGCCGUGUGCUAAAUUAUUGCAGAGAAGCUUGAUUAAUGAUGAGGUUGAUGCUAUGCCUACCUAGAUCACAUAUAUUUAUAAAUUGUUAUUUGCCUUGUUCAUGAUAGCAGAGCUGCUGGCUUGUAGGGUGAUAGCAAAUCAAAUCUGGAUAGAUCUUUGGUGGUGCUGAAUUAGUACAUAUGACAAAAUUUGUCUAGUCUGGAUGUCUGAAUCUGCCUACAAAAUUAUGGCAAAAUCUGUCUAAUCUGCGUGUCUGAAUCUCGCCAGGUCGGCCAUGUACUUGGUUACUUUACCUUAUGCCUAAUGAAAUAGUAGAUCAGUAUUCUAAUAAUAUGUCAACAGUUUUUUUCUUGGUUUGGACUUUGGAGUAACACUUGAACUAGUAGUCACUGGUUUCCUCUGCUUGAUAUUCCAUCUUUUUUGAGACUGCAAAUAGCAUGCCAAACUGGAGCAGCACUGCCUCCCUGCAAACAGAGAGAAAAAUUGCAGCUACGCAAGCUUAGUUGCACCCCUGAAUCUCCUGGCAAACACUGAACUUGUUUUUUCAGACGAACAGAA
rnacentral:lncRNA from 1 species